CUCUUUCCCCACCAAGUUGGAGGUUUCUAAAUGUGUUACUAGUCAUAGUCCUUUUCAAGUAAGAUUAUGGGAUGGAAUUAUGAGAGAUUUGGAAGGUUGUGCUAAAACUAUCUCCUAAACAGUGGGAGAUGGCUGUGGGAUCAUUUUGGCAUCAUAUGUGGUGUCAUAGUCUGAAAAUUAUCAUCUAUGCAAUUUUUAAAAAUAUUAUUAUUAUUAUUAUUAUUAUUUGAUAGGUAAAUAAGCAAC
rnacentral:lncRNA from 1 species